GAGCGUUCCGCAGCAGAUGGGUGAUCCUCUUGGAAAGCUGCUGGAAAAGCGCCAUCAGGUUGCUAUGGCGACAUGGGAGAAAUGGAACAGUAUAAAUAAAUAAAUAAAUAAAUAAAUAGAAUGCGAGGUUCGAGUGAGAUGCCCCUAAAAGUCUCACCGGGGUCCGGCCGAAGUUCCGCUGUGGCGUUUGUGUUGACGGCAGAAAACCUUGGCCGCACGCUGAAGGCAGUACACCAGCCCGGCCACGAGAGGGCUCUUCAAGGACAUCUUCAGUCUGCAACUCAAGCGAAUACCGACAACGGCAAACGCACAACGUCGAGCUCGUCAGUGAAAUGGGAGCAUUGAAGUGCAUCGC